CAGGGCUCGAACCUGUGUCCUCUGCAUUUAGCUGGCAGAUUCUCAACCACUGCGCCACCAGGGAAGCCCCGUCCUGUGACUAUUGAAUUGAUACACUAAAUAUCUAACUUCACAAAAAUAAAUCUUUUUUAUGGCACACCGAAGAUUUUCUCUCUGAAGUUCCCAUGAGCAGUGUUAUUUAUCUAUAAAGAAGUCUCCUCCAAGAAAGCAGCAACAGCGAGCUCAUGGUGCAGCCUUUCUUCCAGAACAGAGGGGCUCGACUCUCACUGGCAUUAUUAGGCAGACUUCAUGAGACUUUGAAGUGGCCGCUGUACCAAAUGGAAACAGAGUAUCUGGUUUCCCAUCUCAAGGACAAUCCUUUGACAUGAAAAUUGUCAUCCCCUUUUUACAGGAUUUGAAGGAAGAAUGGAUCCAAGAGCAAAAAGGCAGCUCCACCUAACCCUGGGAAGGACCGAUAAGCAACUCAGGGUGCAGCUACUAAGAAAGCAGGAGGAAAGUGAGCUGGAAGCUACUCUUCUUCAUGUAGAAAUGAAUCCUCAGACCAAAAGUUUCAA